GUGGGUAUAGCUCAGUGGUAGAGCACAUGCUUGCUUAGCAUGCAGGAAGUCCUGGGUUCAAUCCUCAGUACCUCUA
rnacentral:tRNA from 1 species